rnacentral:rRNA from 1 species
GGCGGAAUAUGUAGUGUAGCGGUGAAAUGCAUAGAUAUUACAUAGAACACCAAUUGCGAAGGCAGCUUACUAAGUACUAACUGACGCUGAUGGACGAAAGCGUGGGUAGCGAACAGGAUUAGAUACCCUGGUAGUCCACGCCGUAAACGAUGGAUACUAGCUGUUCGGGGCCUUGAGCUCUGAGCGGCUAAGCGAAAGUGAUAAGUAUC